rnacentral:rRNA from 1 species
AAACUUUUAACAACGGAUCUCUUGGCUCUCGCAUCGAUGAAGAACGCAGCGAAAUGCGAUAAGUAAUGUGAAUUGCAGAAUCAGUGAAUCAUCGAAUCUUUGAACGCACCUUGCGCCUUUUGGUAUUCCGAAAGGCAUGCCUGUUUCAGUGUCAU